CAGUCGCCACGGUAAUACAGAGGGUGCGAGCGUUAAUCGGAUUUACUGGGCGUAAAGCGUGCGUAGGCGGCUUCUUAAGUCGGAUGUGAAAUCCCUGAGCUUAACUUAGGAAUUGCAUUCGAUACUGGAAAGCUAGAGUAUGGGAGAGGAUGGUAGAAUUCCAGGUGUAGCGGUGAAAUGCGUAGAGAUCUGGAGGAAUACCGAUGGCGAAGGCAGCCAUCUGGCCUAAUACUGACGCUGAGGUACGAAAGCAUGGGGAGCAAACAGGAUUAGAUACCCCCGUAGUCCCUGUCUCUUAUAC
rnacentral:rRNA from 1 species